rnacentral:lncRNA from 1 species
CGAAUUCUUACAAGGUAACAAAAGAAAGUUUAGGCACAAUUACAAAAUCUUCCAGAGUUGAUCCUGACGACCACUCAAAAUGAAACCGUAGUUAUCCUGAAAAAUGUUUACCAUAGUUUGAUGAGUUUGGCUACUCAGUAAGUGAUCAUCAUAAUCUUAAAAAUAAUCAUCGAUGAAAGAUAUAAACAAACUUUCAAAAUGGAGGUCAAUAAAAAAAACAAUGCGAACACAAGCAUUUAUAGAUAACAAUUUCACUUUCAGAAAUGCACAAUUAAACACAAUCCAAAUGAUUGAAAUGCAUAUAACAUUUUAACGGCAGUGCAUAAUUCAAAAGAUUCCACAAAAUUACUCUAUUAGCGUCCCAAAUAGGUCACCUAUAUACCCCAUCAGCAUCCUGAUGGGUCCACUUAAUCCCUAUCGGCGUCCCAGAUAGGUCCAUUUAAUCCCUGCAGGUCCACUUAUACCUCACUGGCGUACCGGAUGAGUCCACUUAAUCCCUACCAACGUCACGGAUAGGUCCACUUAUACCUCACCGGCGAAUCGGAUGAGUCCACUUGCAUACUUAAAUUAUUUCUAAAUCUCUUUAAACAUUUGAAAGCAGCAAUAUCAUGUGCUCAACAUAUCACUGAAAUCAUUAAUAUGAAUUUCAUUGAAACCAUUAAUAACAGUCACUUUCAAUAACAUUUCAAAAAUAACCAAUCAAAUAUUUUGGGCUCAAAUUUAGAAAGGUAGCAGUUCGUAAAGACAUUUUAGCAUAAUUGCCAAUCUAAUUUGCAUAGAAAAAUUCCUAUAGAAAUUCAAGAAUACGAAAUUAUCACAAUCUAUGGGAUAUCAAUUUGCAAAUAAACAUUUCACAGACAAUGCUAUAAUCAAAUACAAAAAUAUCAGUUUUCAAAUAAUAAGGCAGUCAUUUGCACAUGAAUUUUACAAUGUCUAAAUAUUCAAAAGCAGUAGAAAGAAAUCUCAC